rnacentral:tRNA from 1 species
UUGGCCGAUGGUGUAACGGUAGCACAGCAGAUUUUGGUUCUGCUUGUCCAGGUUCGAAUCCUGGUCGGCCAGU